rnacentral:lncRNA from 1 species
CUCAAGAGGAGUAUGCUCUGCUUACAGCAAUUGUUAUCCUGUCUCCAGAUAGACAAUACAUAAAGGAUAGAGAGGCAGUAGAGAAGCUUCAGGAGCCACUUCUUGAUGUGCUACAAAAGUUGUGUAAGAUUCACCAGCCUGAAAAUCCUCAACACUUUGCCUGUCUCCUGGGUCGCCUGACUGAAUUACGGACAUUCAAUCAUCACCACGCUGAGAUGCUGAUGUCAUGGAGAGUAAACGACCACAAGUUUACCCCACUUCUCUGUGAAAUCUGGGACGUGCAGUGAUGGGGAUUACAGGGGAGGGGUCUAGCUCCUUUUUCUCUCUCAUAUUAAUCUGAUGUAUAACUUUCCUUUAUUUCACUUGUACCCAGUUUCACUCAAGAAAUCUUGAUGAAUAUUUAUGUUGUAAUUACAUGUGUAACUUCCACAACUGUAAAUAUUGGGCUAGAUAGAACAACUUUCUCUACAUUGUGUUUUAAAAGGCUCCAGGGAAUCCUGCAUUCUAAUUGGCAAGCCCUGUUUGCCUAAUUAAAUUGAUUGUUACUUCAAUUCUAUCUGUUGAACUAGGGAAAAUCUCAUUUUGCUCAUCUUACCAUAUUGCAUAUAUUUUAUUAAAGAGUUGUAUUCAAUCUUGGCAAUAAAGCAAACAUAAUGGC